AAAAAUUAUUAAAAAUUUUUUCGAAGGGCCCUAUGUCUCAACUUUUAGUUCAUACAAUAUGAUAUUUUUAAUUCAGGCCAUUCACAAGUAUUGUUAUUAUUUUAUUUGCUGUAUGCUUAUUUAUUUCUGUGCCCACCCUCAAUCAAAUGUGAACUUCAUGAGGCCAGAGACCUAUCAGAGACCUCCUGACCUACGCAGUAGACCCGUCCUCUAUUGUAUACUCAAGCCUAGCACAGUGCCAGACACCUAAAAUGUGCUCAACAUCUGUCAAGUGUACAGAAUUACCUCCAGUCUUUAUAACAAUCUUAAAAGUUGGGUAGUAUUAUCUUUUGUUUUCAGAGGGGACAAUCGAGCUUCAGAGAAAGGACAUCUCUAAGGUAGUGAAACUGAGAUAUUAUUUUAAAUCUUGCAUUGUUUUCUUAUCCUGGUGUACAUGGUUAAUAAUGUUGCAUCACUCUCACCAUCAAAGCUUGGUGAAUAAUCAGUGAUUGCAAUUUUCUCUAUCUCUGGUUGGUUUUUCCACAGUGAUUAGCCAUACAACCUUUUAGGAAAAAAAGCAUGCUUACUUCUCUAGGGUGCAAGUCUUCAGGGAUCAGAGAGGAAAUCUCAAGCAACAGGUAGAUGGUGGAAGAUAUGAACAAGAAAAAUUAAAAUAAGAAAUAUUGGAAGAAAAAAUAGGACACCAUCAGAAUAUGUAGGAUAAAUGACUAUGGAUACCUCACUAGCAGAAAGAUAUGCAAUUCCCUGACAUUUAUAGCUAAUUUCCCUUGAUUUUUAGGAGAGUCUCUAGAAAGAGAUUCUGGGUAUACAUUCUCAUAGUGUUUUAGUCACAGACAAGAACGAUCUUUAAGAAGAGGAUGUUAUGUAUUAGACCACAUUCCAAAUGGAGGUCUGUUAGGAAAACAAAAUUAGGAGACACGUCUUCCAUUCAAAUUUAUCAAGACUAUUGGUACAGCUCUGCCUUGAUCACUGGAACUCUACACUGAAAGCAGGAGCUUUUUCCAGUGUGCCCUCUGGAAUAUAUACUGUUUGUUAUAUGAUUUUAGAGGCACCCUUUUUGAUGCUUCAAUUUUUACAGCAGCAAAAGCAAGCCUAGAUAUAAAGAAAUCUGCUGAAUAUGAAUAAACCUUGCUAUAGACAUUAGGUCUAUGCCUAUUAAGAUCCUAAAACUUCAACAAAUUGAAAGCAGAUUGUCUAUGAACCAAGUAAUAUGAUGAUGCCAAAGUGUGGAAUUUUCUGAAAAAAAAAAAAUAGACCAGCUUUUUCUUGUAACUGCUUAAUUUCAAGCCAAAAUGCAGAUGAUAUAGAUAGGUUGGCACAUUUGCUCAAAAUGUUAAAGAAAUUUUGGUAUGUCUGGCUGAAAGCUGACUACAUCACCAUUCAGCCGUUCUCCUGAAAGACACUUAGGUUUUAUGGUCUUUUGGGUCUAAAAUUAUUUGAUCUUGUGAUUUGGGUUCAUAUACUUAGUGGAAAAGCUUUCACUGAGUUCAAAAAGGAAAUCAAAUCUGGUCGAUGCCAAAAGAAAAUGCAAGGUGAUGACUAAUGACACUUCCAUUCUCCUUUUCUCUGCUCUGGCCAAGAACAUCAACUCCUGAUUUCAUCAUGGAUGGUGUAGCCAGGAAGGUUGGAUUUGAAUGCUUGUCCUCAUGGAAGUGAGAUAAAAAAAAUAUGGAUAUCCUUGACUACAUGGACGACUUAAACACACGAUGGGAAUACAUUCAUACCCACCCAUCAUCUCCCUGGCAAGAUGAGUUCUCCAGAGUUGCGUUGGAUCGGAAGGCAACUUAGACAUAAACAGUGAAAGGAGUAAUUCCAAGGGCCUGCACACUUAAAAUAAAAUUCAUCUUUGUGGAUGUGAAUGUUUAGCUGUGUUUCCAUGAAUCCAAGUUUGAAUAGGUCCUUGGCUAGCAUUCGCCACCAGGGCUGCAAGUGAGGAGAAUUGUCCCUGAGCUGAGAUCUGUGCCAAUCUUCCUCUAUUUUGUAUGUGG
rnacentral:lncRNA from 1 species